rnacentral:lncRNA from 10 species
GGGUGUGGUGGCUCACGCCUGUAGUCCCAGCACUUUGGGAGGCCAAGAUGGGUGGAUCACUUGAGGUGGCACGCCUGGGCAACAUGGCGAAACACCAUCUCUACUAAAAAUGCAAAAAUUAGCCAGGUGGCACGCGCCUGUGGUCCCAGCUACUCAGGAGACUGAAGCAUGAGAAUCGCUUGAACCCAGGAGGCAGAGGUUGCAGUGAGCCGAGAUCACACCACUGCACUCCAGCCUGGGCAACAGAGUAAGACUCUGUUUCAAAAAAAAAAAAAAAAAUUAACUGAAAAAUUGUCAAUUCAUAUUUAUGCAUUGUUUUAUCUUACUGCCCCUGUAUUUGUCAGGGACAUGUUGUCUUAACAGAUUUUGGGCUUUGUAAAGAAGGAAUUGCUAUUUCUGACACCACUACCACAUUUUGUGGGACACCAGAGUAUCUUGCACCUGAAGUAAUUAGAAAACAGCCCUAUGACAAUACUGUAGAUUGGUGGUGCCUUGGGGCUGUUCUGUAUGAAAUGCUGUAUGGAUUGCCUCCUUUUUAUUGCCGAGAUGUUGCUGAAAUGUAUGACAAUAUCCUUCACAAACCCCUAAGU